GUGGGUAGCCGGGUUGAGAGACCGACCGGCCAGAUUGGGACUGAGACACGGCCCAGACUCCUACGGGGAGGCAGCAGGUGGGGAAUCUUGCACAAUGGGCGAAAGCCUGAUGCAGCGACGCCGCGUGCGGGAUGAGGGCCUUCGGGUUGUAAACCGCUUUCAGCAGGGGACGAGGCCGCAAGGUGACGGUACCUGCAGAAGAAGCCCCGGCUAACUACGUGCCAGCAGCCGCGGUAAAU
rnacentral:rRNA from 1 species